rnacentral:rRNA from 1 species
AUUUAUUAGACAUUGUCUAUGGCCAAGCCCGAUCCCGUCUGAUCUCAGAAGCUAAGCAGGGUCAGGCCUGGUUAGUACUUGGAUAGGAGACCACCUAGGAAGACCAGGUGCUGUAGGUG